UUUCCGUAGGUGAACCUGCGGAAGGAUCAUUAAUGAGUUGUCAUGGGGUUCGAUGCUGGCAGCCGAUUUUUGGAUGCAUGUGCUUGCCCUAACAAUCAUCUUCCAAACACCUGUGCACAUUUUUGAGGGAUUCUUGAGUUGGUUGCCGCUCUUGGGUGAUUUUCUCACAUUCCCUUAAAUCAUUAUACGCUAUUAACAAUGUUGAACGUGCUCUGUGCCGCAAGGCUAUUAAUAUAAUACAACUUUUAACAACGGAUCUCUUGGCUCUC
rnacentral:misc_RNA from 1 species